rnacentral:rRNA from 1 species
AUUGAACGCUGGCGGCAGGCCUAACACAUGCAAGUCGAACGAGUGGCGGACGGGUGAGUAAUGUCUGGGAAACCGCCUGAUGGAGGGGGAUAACUACUGGAAACGGUAGCUAAUACCGCAUACAAUCAGCUUUGCCCAGAUGGGAUUAGCUAGUUGGCGGGGUAACGGCUCACCAAGGCGACGAUCCCUAGCUGGCCUGAGAGGAUGACCAGCCAAACUGGAACUGAGACACGGUCCAGACUCCUACGGGAGGCAGCAGUGGGGAAUAUUGGACAAUGGGCGAAAGCCUGAUCCAGCCAUGCCGCGUGUGUGAAGAAGGUCUUCGGAUUGUAAAGCACUUUAAGUGGGGAAGCGUUACCAAAAGAAUAAGCACCGGCUAACUUCGUGCCAGCAGCCGCGGUAAUUC